GUCCGGUUCACAAAACUUUGAAUUUUGACUUUGAAUACUGGCGUACUAAAUUUUAAUCCUGCUACCUUUGAUAACAACUAUAACAAGUAAGGGAUAUGGCAGUUGUUAUCAAAUAUUUCGUUUCUAUUUAUGUUGGCGUUUGUUUUUGUUGCACUUUAGUGUUCCUGUUCUUCCUUUGUUUCCCUCUUAUAAUUGAUGUGUUUCCCUUGGUUUUUCUUUAUAAGCCAGAUUCGUUUUUUCUUAAUCAAUCUAUGACUUUUGGUAUCGGUAUACUACUGUUGCCUUCUUAUUUUAUUUUAAAUUCUAUGGAGUAGUUUUCUUGUUUUUUUCUUUAUAACAUCAACUUGAAUUUGCCUCGCAUAAUGUACACGAAUUCGAUAAAAAACCUUUGCACAUUCUUUAGCAAAAGAACGUCCGGCGACCCAUACUUACAAAUAAUUAGAUUUUGAAAAAAGCAUAAUAGAAACUUUA
rnacentral:lncRNA from 1 species